CCUAUUUAAAUUGGCACCACAUCUAUACACCUUAGAGCCGGUCCCAUAGGCUCAGGACCAGGUGAGCACCACAUUUAUUAUUUUACAUCCGUGUUUUUAUCGCUACAGUCUACACAUUGGUUCGUUCUCCUUUUAUGUCUUAUUUAUGAGAACUACUCCAAGCCGAAGCGGAAGGGUGGUGCUACCAAAAAAAGCACACAAGCCUUAAUACGGAGCCAGUUUUUUUUAUAUACAGGCUCCUUAAAAAUGUGAGUGUACAGUUUGCUACGAUAUUAUUAUUUCUGUAUUGCAAUUUUAAAUACCAUCUGCACUAUAUUGUAUCUUUUUGUAUUUUUUUGGCAUGUACUUCAUAUUGUACUAUUGGAUUAAGUCACGCUUGGUAAGCCUUAUAUUUGUUUGAGCGCUCCACUUACAGGUGUAGGUCUUUGUCACUUAUACCGCACUGUAUUUUAAAAGGAAACCAGUGGCCGAAAUAGUCAUGACAAGCCAGGUCAAAUACCAAAGAAUCAUAGAGAUACAUAGUGCGCUAUUGGGUAUACGAGAAACCACAACAGGGCACUGGAGUCAAGCACGAUCGAUGUCCAAAUAAGUACUGUGAAAUCAACGCUGUCUGUAUUAAUACUGCGCACAGAAAAACUUUGUGUGCCUUAAUAGGCAACGGGUCAACGGGUCUAUUUUGAUACACAAAUAUUUCAUUAUAAAAUAAUGUAGUGUAGUAGCUUCCAACAUCAUAAUUGACACCAGAAUGUAGUGGGGUCAGACAGAUAAUACAGGCAUAGCCAUUCUCAGCAUCAAAAUAGAUGCCAAUAGAUGCCAGAAUGAUGUGGAAUUGGCGGAAAAUGCAGAAAUGAGAAGGUACUGUACAGCUUGGCUAUUCACAAUGAAGUUUGGACACUCCUUGCACUAUAACCACACCAGCAAGUAGUUAUGGUGCUGAGGCAUGACUUAUGAUAUCCUCUGAGGCAUGACUUAUGUAUUUGACCAAACUUUGUGCCAACCAGUGUGCCCACGUCUCUUAAUACCUGACAUAGAGAGCUUGUGGUGAUCAUGACCAUCCCAUGAGGUGCAAUAGCAGCCAAUAUCUGGAUUGGUAGAGGAAUACAGGAGCUUUUGAAGAACAAGCAUGAAAAAGCAUCAUGAGACAUGUAGUUCUUCAACAUGAGGAAAGCUGAAGGUAGCCUUCGACUGUAUAUAUGCCAAUUAAACUCUAAAGGUUCCAUCGCCUGAUCAGAAGGUAGCAUGGACCCUUCAGCAGAAAAAGGUCUAUCAGUCUCUCAAUGUUUCUAGUAACCUUUGGGAUCUGUUUGUCUGUACUCUUACUGCUGAGACGGCGGGUUAAAAUUAGACUGAUAGCAUAGUUUAGAUUGCUGGUCUCAAGGAGUUGUAACUGGACCGUGUGGGAUGAACGUAAUCUGACUGCAGCUCCUGCUUUAUGACUUUGAGGUCAAUGGCUUUCAGUGAGUUCAUUUCGUACUUUUUUUUUCUCUCCUAUCAUUUUUCAAAUAUUUCUGCUGAGUUUUCCUCGUUGCAGAAAACAUGCCCCUUUAAAGUGAUUAUCGUGUGUUUUCUGUUUUGAAGAAGUGGGGCUCCAUUAAGGUUCUUGGAGUUAUAAAUAGAUGUGACUGUGUGGAAAUCCAAGAGACGUAUACUUCAAUUAUUUCACUUAGAGAAACAACAUAGAUCUGCUAUUAUUUUUCUACCGUUUCUAUUUUAGUAUAUUUUAUGUUAUAGUUUGUAUUUUAGUAUAUAAUAUGUUAUCCAGAAUAUAUUUGUGUUGGUUAUGGUUAUAUUAUAAAUUCAAGUAACUGACUCCUACUAUGCAUGGGGAGGACUAUCCAGGGCCAUUGAUGUCUGAUUUGUAGGUGGAUGGAUUCGAGUGCCUGUGUACUAAGGGCUUACAGUGAGGGGGGAAAGUAUUUGAUCCCCUGCUGAUUUUAAACGUUUGCCCACUGACAAAGAAAUGAUCAGUCUAUAAUUUAAAUGGAUCCUGAAAAACGUAUGUCAAAAAGUUAUAAACUGAUUUGCAUGUUAAUUAAUAAAAUAAGUAUUUGACCCCUUCCACGUAAUACUUGGUGACAAAACCCUUGUUGGCAAUCACAGAGGUUAGAUGUUUUUUAUAAGGGAAUGCUCUAAACUCCCGAACUGCAUACAAUAUAGCACUCCAAACUCCCGAACUGGAACCUCACGAAUAGCUGCUAGCAGACGAAUAGGAAAAGCCCCCAAGCGGCUUACACUUCUAGGAAUCAGUCUCUAUCAGCAUACAGUAAAUCCCCCCAAAGACGAGACAAGGCUCUGUGUUGAGCGUCAAGCAGUGGUCUGUUUAAUGAGGGCUACCUGCCCAGUAUUUAUGCAGGUCUCCUACCUGGUGGACACUCCCCUAGGGGACCAGAUGGAAGACUGUGACAAGGACAUUGUAGCAACUAAUCACAGGGUACACACUUAGCCAUUCCCCUUUCUUACUCAGCACCCUCUGCUCUGCUCAGGGAGAUAAUUGUGAAGUAAUUCAAUUAUCUCCCAGGACAGAGCCUAAACGCCAUUUUAGAUGACAAUAACAAAAAUACAUAAAAAACAGAACUGUUAUAUUUUACAACAUUUUACAGGCAUUCAACAUGUCCCCAGAUAGCUAGGAUCUGAGCGCACCAAAGUACAGAAUAGCGCUCAGAUCCUAUGCACACAGUCCAAUCGCCGUGGAGCCAAAGUGUUCACAAAGUCAGUUCUCGUAUGAAUAAGCUCCACGGGAUUCCUAUCUGGGGUAUGGUGUAGUCAGGUACAACUACCGAAAAUAGGGCCGUUCGUGUACGUCUACCGAACAAGAAGGGAGGUCGGCGGCUUCAGCAGUGUUCGCGCCAAAAUGUAUCCGUUUUCAGUUCCAUGAGUUGGGCGUCGAACUUUGCUGUGCGUUUGCGUGUUUAAAAUGGCCGCGACCUCGUGUUCGGUAUACGAAUGGCGGCCACCCAGCAUCCGUCAGUUAAGCUGCGGUUAACCGCAGCUUCUGGGAGGUUAAUUGCCGACACAUUCCAGCUCCCAGGUGGUCCAGUCAUUCGUGUGUUAGUUCGGUAGAUUGAAUCUACCGAACACUGGGCAGAAAGGCACGAAUAAGCCUUUUCUGCAGGGGAAAAAGGAGGCUUUUAACAUGGGGCCAUAAUCCAAAGGCAACAGGCGAGCAACCAGGUUUCUCCAAUGCAAUGUGGCGAGAUUGGUCUCGUCACACCAUCCAUGAUCCAUUUUUAAUGCCCUGGCUGAGGGAAGGAGGUUCUCAGCCAAGAUUUGACAGUACAUAGUCCCGUCCAUCAUCCCUUUGAUGCGGUGCAGUUGUCCUGUCCACUUAGCAGAAAAACACCCCCAAAGCAUAAUGUUUCCACCUCCAUGUUUGACGGUGGGGAUGGUGUUCUUGGGGUCAUAGGCAGCAUUCCUCCUCCUCCAAACACGGCGAGUUGGGUUAAUGCCAAAGAGCUCGAUUCUGAUCUCAUCUGACCACAACACUUUCACACAGUUCUCCUCUGAAUCAUUCAGAUGUUCAUUGGCAAACUUCAGACGGGCCUGUACAUGUGCUUUCUUAAGCAGGGGGACCUUACGGGUGCUGCAGGAUUUCAGUCCUUCACGGCAUAGUGUGUUACCAAUUGACAUGCGUUUUUCUGGAUUUUUUUUUUUGUUAUUCUGUCUCUCACUGUUAAAAUAUACCUACCAUUAAAAUUAUAGACUGAUCAUUUCUUGGUCAGUAGACAAAUGUUUUAAAAUCAAAUACUUUUUCCCUCACUGUAGGCAAGUGUAACAAACCCUUCCUCACACAUAAUGGGAUAAAUGAUUCACAUAAACCUUCAAAAAGUCCAAUGGUAUUGGAAAGAAAAUAUAUUCUCUGAAAAACUAUGAGAACCAUCUCUCAAUUACCAUCUAGGUGAGAUGUUUGCUGUGGGAAACCAAAGCCCAGUAAUGGUUAUCUGAAACACUCCUAGUCCAAUAGUGUUAGAUUUGUGAUGAAGAAGUCGUCUCUUCGUAAACACAUCCCUGCUGGGCAUGGGACUCCCUACCAUGGACCAUAGCUUCUUCUAAGGUAGCUUCCUUAAAGGUACUAUUCAAUAAGGCCCAAUGAGCUUACAAUCCAGAGGAAAAUUUGUAUGCAUGCAUUUUGCAAUAAACCUCCACACACACUAAAAACCAACCACAAACUUUCCCAAGACUUAACCACCUUCCAAAAAUUGACAGAAAAGUGAGGCAAACUAUCUUAACAGCUACAAAGCCUCUAUCAGAGAUCCCUCAUUUAAACAUUAGUUUAUUUCUUUAUAAACAGUGAGGUUUGCUUGCAUGAUUAAUAAACACCAAGCUUAAACACUGCUCGCCUGAAUAAGGGACUCGACCGGACACAUACAACAUAUGCAGGACCAAAUAGCCCAGGUGGGAAUCUAUGAUAAUUUGCUUACACUUUUCAACAGUUCAUUGAGGCAAGGCCAUCCCUUCCCAGUUUCUCGCAGCAAACAUAUACAUUAUACCCAGAGGGCAAGGACUUGAAGCAGUGUACUUAUUACAGGUCGUACCCCCUCCCCCCCCCUAAAUUGUUACCUGAAACUAUAAAAUCCAAUAUUUUAAACAUCAACAUCCCAGCACGGAUGCCGGACCUGAUUAGUCAUGAAAUGCAAUAUAAUCUUCACAUUAGUGAGAGUAACGGAUAAAAAUAUACACCAGUUUGCACUAAGAUUAGAUGCCAAGGAAGAAUACAAAAAUUAAAGUUAUUAUAACAUGUUAAUCCAUCUCUUUAUUGAACAUGUUAAUCCAUCUCCAUUUUGUUGUUUACAUAUUUGUGAAUGUGAAUCACUAGGGCAAAUAAGUCUAUUAAUUGGGUAACUUGAGUUAAAGAGGCACUCUAGGAACCAUAGCCACAACUGAAUGCUUAAGUGGUUAUGGUGCCAGGAGUCACUUGAUGCUGACCCACUGUAUGAAGUCAUGUGGGUUUUCAGACAGCUUGACAUCUACCUGGCUCCCAUAGGUGCCUCCAAUCCAGCCUUCUUUAAUGGUAUAGCUAGACCAAAACUCCCCCUUCCUCAAUAAAAAUUUCAACAUCAUCCCUAUUUGGAUGGGAUUCACUAGAACACAGAGUCAGCUAACACAGCGUUAGCCAACAAAUUCCAUCCAAACACGAGUAGAACUGAAAUCACAGAUAAAGAAGUAGAACCAUUAGUAAUAUCAGUAGAGGUGGUCAGGCCAGACGUCCGUCAGGCAAAUGUCAAGCAGUUGGAAUAUGGUUUGAUUGCUUAUUGUGGACUGGCCACCGGGGAUUUCUAGCACCAUGUCCACUAAAGCAAACUGUAGUGGUUAUGGUGCCUACACUACCCCUUUAAAUGAAAAACAGUUUUGCAUUGGAGGGCUCAUGUUCUGUAAAUCAAACACAAACUGUGAAUGUCACUAUCACAGACUGAUUUGCAGCUUUGUGUAAGUAAGCAAAUAGAGUUUACAGAAAGUGGUGAGUCUGUGAAAGUUUACAAAACCAUUUCUAAAGACGUUAUGGACCGAAGACACUACAGAUUAAAAGGGCACUCUAGGAACCAUAACAACUUCAGUUCCAUAAAGUCAUUAUGGUGCCUGGAAGUUAUGGGUGCAGGGUUAACGUGAGCGUGUAAACUGUUUAUGGGUGGUUUAACCCCAAAGUACUCUUGAUGACACUCAUCCUCAUGGCCCCACGGCCUCCUCCUCGGGAUCCAGCCUCAAUUAAUGCCCUCAAUCUAUCACUGGCCUCCCACAGAGAAAAAAAACCCAUUAGAUAUUAGCAUACAUACAAGUAUCUAACAAGGAGAGAAGGUGCAGUCAUUUGAACAGGAUCUAGAAGUAGCAAUAUAUAUGCAUAAACAUUAAAGAGGUCUAGGAACGUCUUUCCAAAUCAGGCAUCAGGAUAGCAGAGAAGCUCAUUUCAGAUAUCAGGACGUGUCCAGCAGAUGACAAGGAACAACAGCAGAACCCUAGGUAAGCACAAACAAUUAAAGGAACACUCUAAGCACCAUAGUAGCUAUGGGGACAGUAUUGGUACCUCCUCAUUGUCAGUAGUGAAAUGGUUUUGGAACAGUCCAACUUCUCAACCAGGGUCCACAGGCACCACUAUAUGCCUCUAUUACUUCUGCCAGAAAGCCAGAGGCCUUGCGUUGCAAAGCCAGGUCAUUAACCUAGAGCGUCAGCUGAUCAUUCUUAGUCAGUGAACUGAGCCCUGCACCACUUGGCUAGAUCAGAGAGAGAGCUUCCAACAUCCUAUCAGAAGUAGUGGAGGCAGGGAGCAGCUCCUGGUGGAUGCCAGGUAAGAAAUCAAAAAGCAAUGGUACUUACAAUGGGGAAGUAGUGGUUAUGGUUCUUGGACGGUUCCUUUAACAUAUGGUUACAAAACAAUCAAAAGUAUAAAAUGAAAUUACUGUUCAGAAUGCAGAUCUCUGAGGUUUUUAUGAAGCAAUUUGUAAUCGCCUGGUAAAGAGAGAACAUAGAUGUUAAAUAAUAUUGAAUAAGUAAGCAAUGAUUAUAGUAACAGAACAGACGAAAUAAAAAAAACAAAAACAAACUCAAAACAGAAGCCACUGAAAUCAACACUUACAUUAACAGGAAGGCAAGAUAUGAGGUAUGCUCUGAAGGAUCGCAGCAAUGAUUAUAGAUCUGAAGAUCUGGAGUGUGAGAAGAUACCAAGAAAGAGACCACUUCUAUUCAAAACAUCACCUGAAUAGUUCAAAUAACUACUGAAGAAUGACCUAUUGACAGCAGAGAUGAAAAUCGACUUUUUUGGCAUUGAUAAGCUGCAUUAGGUUUUACAAACUGCAAUUAUAUAAUAAUAAUCGUUACAUAAAGUAUUGAAAUUAUAUAGAUAUUUUUAAAAUGAAGUAUAUGUAAAAAAGAAUUUUUGAAAAACUCAUCCCUACCUUUAGUAUAUGACAGGAACCUUCAGUCGUAGAUAUAUGCUUGUCUUGUCAAACAGUGUUUGAAAACCAACAGAUGGUUUUCAACAGAUGGACUGUGGCCGUACCUCCUGUGCAGAGAUUUAAAAAAGUGAAGAUCGGAAGAUCAAGACCAAUAACUGGUGGUUUUCAAACACGGUCUGACCCAAGGUGAAUGUAUAGGGCUGAAGGAUUGUCAUAUUAAAGGUACAGAUGAGUUUUUCUAUUUUUACAUAUACUUCAUUAAAAUCUAUUUCCUUGCAAAACUUGGUACUAGGAAUGUUAAAUUAACAAUAGUUUUGAGGUGUCAGUUGUCCUUUAAGUUCGACAGCCAAGAAAUGUUACUUAUGUGGACUAGCUCUGGAAAAGGUAGUUGUCUAAAAAUGCAUUCAAACAAUUGAAUUAAUCAACAGGUAAAAUACUGGGGAUUCAUUACUACUAAAUGUGAUGCCACCAGUUAUGACAACUGGAGGUUUAUGGUUCUGUAGGAUAUGGUUAACAGCAAUGCAAUUACCCAUUACUCAAUCAGAUGCAAAGGUAUGUAGGACCAAAGGUACGUUGGUCUGGUGCCAACUACGGAAGCUCUUGUUCAUCAACCUAUUAUAGAAGAUCACCACUUCCAUGUGCACUUACCUAUACUGUAUGUACCAAAAAUGGAAGUAAUGGUUGGGGUGUAGGGUCAGAUUCUAGAAGAUGGCAGUUCUAGAACAUUUUAAAUUUCAUUGGGCAUGUAUAGAGGCUUUACAUGCAAAUCUGAGGGAAAGAUGUGCAAGCAGUCAACUUUAUAUUCUCUUACUAUGAGUGCCUCUUCUAAGCCCAAAUCUCUAGCUUUGGGCACUUUACCUAUAUCUCACCUAUAUACACAUUGGUUCUCUGGUGCAUUUACUAUAGCAAUGAGCAUCAUAUCGCCACGUUUGCCUAACGCCUUCAUUACCUACUACUGCUCAUCAUCCUUGUGUUUUCAAUUCUUAUUGUUGGACAUACUGACACCAACCAUUGGUGUAAUGGUGUUAGCAUCGCGUAUGGCACCUAACAUGAAAUCUCUCUGAAAAGUAAUCCUUUGUUAACCAUAAAAUGAGUGCAGGUAUUAACUGUACAGGAGUAUUCACUAAUUGUAUAUUUUAUCCCAAAAGAAAUCUUUCAGAAAAUGUUUUCUAAUGAGCUAUUUUAGUCUAAAUGUUGUAUUUACCAGGGUUGUUCCUAACCAUUUACUGUUUAAUUUAAAAAAAAGUAAUAGUUUUUAUAAAAAGAUCACAAGGAUGUCCGUGACAUACAUAACAGAACUAUCCAUCAUGGAUAUACUUUGAAUAAGAAUUAUCAAUAACUAGUAAGUUACUACUAAUGCUAAAGGUUGUGUUUUUGUUGACAUCCAGAUUUUAUCAUUUAAUUAGUAUAUCCUUUCAAACGGGUCUUGGGAUUACCACAUUUAAAAAGUAAAUUAUCCUCUCGUAUUUAUGGUAAAAUGUAAAGAUUAUCAGGGUUAUUUUUUAAAAGUGAGAAUUAUAAUGUGAAUUCAAAGAGACUUUCAAAUUGAAGAAGACCAGAGUACCCAAACACAGCAUUGCUGACUGGAAUGUUUCCAAUUUGUCUACUUUGCCCGUAAAUUUGAAAUUCACUUUAACUUCAAUUUGAAUUCUCACUUUAGAGAAUAAUCCUGUUUGUGAAAUUCAUUCGACAAGGUAAAUUUGAUGUAUUUUAAUUGAAGCUAGAUGUCUUCUUGAGGACACUAAAGGCCAGCCAAGAUCCGUGGUGCUUUCUGAGCUGCCGUCAUCUCAUACUUAUAUUAGGGGUGAUUUGAUAUCCCCAGCCUCCUGAUUUAGAAACUGGUUUUCCCAGAAGGGAACACCCAGGAAAGAAUUUGAGAUAUGCUUGUUAAGGUUUUCCUCUGUAGAAAUCUGCCAAAAUCUGAGGAUUUGUUGACUAAGCAGUGAAUUGUGGACAUUUUAGAUCAAAAUAGUGUGACACAAGAGUUGCAAACAGUCCUCUCAAUAACCCUACAGAGAUAUUCUCUGUCACAAAGUGUCUGGAGGACUGGAGCAAAGUGUACACACUUGCUGCACCCGUGAUGAUUUAGAAGACAUUUCAAGCAUCACUCAACACAGAUCAUCAUGUGGGUAGUCCUGCUCAUCUACUCUAUUAUGCAUCCUAUCAUCCACACAUGUGAGAGAGAGCAUGCUCCCCAUCAGCCGACUUCCCCUCCAUUCCAUCUCCCAACAGCAAAUCUGUUAAACUUAGCAGGGUUGUAGCUGAUUUGAAAACAAUUACCAAUUACUCAUUCCUUGAUGUUUUUACUUAUGCUCUUGUAUAUAGCACUCUAAUUGGACAAAAAGUAUACGAUUUCACCUAAUAAACCUUGACUGGUUCCUUACUCCAUGUCCAUUAACCUAACAUGAACCUGUUUCACAGCUAAAAAGGCUCAAGACUUUCCAAGAGAAAGAGGGAGGAGACUCUUGGCUCCUAGAUGGAAAUGUAUUAAUAGAAAUAUAUUAUAAGUGUAUGACUAGGCCAGAUAUAUUUAAUACAACAUGUAAACAGUUUUGCGCUCUGCCUGGUCUCUUCUUUGAUUUGCCAUGAUUAGGGACCCUUCCCCAAGCAGGACAAGCACCCCCUGUGAUGAUAACACUCUGGCAGUCACUCUGGUCCUGUAUGCCAUAGCCUAGGGAGUUACCGUAGCAACCACAGAGUACGCGCAGUUAUGUGUGGAAUAGAUGAAAUUGUAUGAUCUUUCAAAAGAACAUAAGUUAUUAUAGGUACCAUGACAAGCACCCUUUCAUUAUUGUCCAGGGUGAUAGACGUAAGAUCUAUCCAAGACAGAACGUUUUAUGCAGUUACUUGUGGAAUUGUACAUUUCCAAAAUUUCCCCAAUGCAAAUAUUUCCAGCUCGAUUCUUUUUUAAACUCUGCUUUUUUGGCCUGAAAUUUACAAUUCUCAAUAAACUGUAUUAUUCUGGAAUCACUGAAGCUAAAACAAUAUACCCUAGUAAACAAGAUGGCCACAGCUCGGUUAUAAUGAUAAAUUAUAAGAGAGAUCAAUUUUGAAGGUGGAGGGAUAAGCACCCCAGAUAUAUUUUAUCAUAGGCAAGUGUAAUUGAUAGCUUUUCAGUUGCAUCAUUUUUGCUCUGAGAAUAAGGAAGAAGACUUUUCCAAGAAAGAGUGGCUUUUCCUAUGGAACACAUCUUUAAGGGAACCGUGCAAGGGAAUCCCUGAAUGACAAAUCACUAAGGACAAAUUCCCAUCUUAUCUUACAGUGGGGAUGCAGUCUAUGGCAAAAGCAUGACAGGGAGCACUUGACACUGAGCAUAUUAUUGCACACACGCCUGGGCCUCUACUAUUACACACACUGCUCCUCUUCUCGAUUGACACCUGUUUGCAUCACUAAAUCUUUCCUAUAUCACAUCUUACCCAGCAGAUGGACGAGGACAGCUGGUGUAGGCUGGUUGGGUUGGAAAUGUCCACUGAGAGUUCAUUGCAUUCAUGCCGCACUAUGUUUUAAAACAAAAAAAUAUAAACUAAUUGAGGGAAUCCCUUUGGUGUGGAUGCUAAAUAUGUGACAAAGAUUUACAGCGAGGGUGUUGAGCCAGAGAUAAGUGGAAUGGAUGAGGAUGUAAAUACAAAUUAGCAAACAAAUAUUGAUGGAGGGAUGGAUGGAUGGAUGGAUGGAAGGGCAUAUGAAAAGUUAUUGGGGAAGUGAACAGAGCCAUGCAACUGGAGGUCCAUACUGGUAUGUAAGGGAAAAAAUGAAAAGUUAUGUUUAAAGGUAUAUUUUAUGUCUGUCACGGAACUCUGUUCCAACAUGGAUGAAAAAGGGCUAUUAUUACUAUGGAAAGAGGGUAUGUAGUUCACCCUGAAUGCUUAUUCUGCCUCCCCGUCGGAAGUGGUGACCAACAGGGAUUGCUGGAUCAAUCCUUAGCAUUGAGUUCCUGACCCAUUUUGUAAGUAGCGUGCGGCUACUUCCAGCAGCCACAUGCUUCGAACUCUGAGCUUGAUCGGAUAAUAGCCGCGACCUGGUCAAACUUUGACUUGGGCACGGAUUUCCCGAUCAGGGCAUUAUUUGGUCAACGUGGGCGCUUGCUGGAGAGCUAUCCAGGGAUAUAUAAUGUGUGGGGGUACCGUCCAGGAAAAGCAAUCAAGACCCCAAACAGAGUGGUGCCUGGGUGGGACUAUUGUAAAGGGCAUUGCAUUGCAUGGAGGAUCCUCUGGUCUAGGAAUCCACAAUUGUGUGUAUAAAUAGCUGUGUGUGUUCAAUAAAGCUGCAUUCUACUCGCCUGCAUUCAGUCUCAACUAAUAUAUGGGGGAUAAAGAAAGAGAGUUUGAGAAAGACCCAACAAAGUGGGAAAUUCACAUUAAUUGAAGUCACUAUAUCGAGGUAAAAUGCUAACUUUAUUCAUUUAAAUAUAACUUAUAUAAACAACCCACCAAAAAUAGUGUGCUCUACAGACGUGAUUGCGUGAAAAGGCUACUGUGGUUAGUAGACUAUUCCUAUCGAAUUAUGAGAUAUGAUUUAGAGAGAUAUAUGGAUUGUAGCUGUAUUAUAAAUACUAAAAGUAUUCCUAUAUUGGAAGUAAACUGGCAACAUACGGAGGAAGUAGAGACAAUGAAUAAAUCUCCUCUGUUAACUAAACCUCCUGUAAGGGAAUGAGACAGAUAUACUGUAUCUAAUUGGUAGCCACCUAGUAUAAUUAAUUAGAUGUUACAAAAAUGUGAUGUUAUAUAACCAAGUGAUCAAUCAGUGAAACUAGAAAAUAUCACUUAGAACUCCCAUUAGACUGCAAGAAGGGACAAUUAACUUGGUAUACAGAUUGCUAGAUGGUAGCAUUUGGUAUGAAAGCAAUGUUUGAAUUCAAAACAGGAAGUAGUAUUGGAGUAAGAAUUAAAGUUUAGAAAAAAGGAAACAUUAAAGUGUAGUUAAUACAGAUAUGAAGUAUCUAUAUAUGAAGCCUCUAUAUUCUAAAGAUAAAUUCUAUACCCCUAGUAAUAAUAUGCUACCCCCCUACUGCUUCAAGGCAGUCCCUUGGGUGUUUAAAUAUAAAGCAGGGAGUGGUAAAGGAGUUAGGGUUAGAGUUUAGAACAUGGGUGUCCAACAUUUUGGCUUACCUGGGCUGCAUUGAGCGUAGAGGAAUUGUCUUGGGCCACACAUCAAAUAUAUCAUAUAGAUUAUAGAUAAUGUAUUUAACUAAUAUAUCUUUUAAAGCCCUUUUCUUAAUUUUGAUAUUUCAGUUGUUUAUUUGUUAUCCUUAUGUUGGAUUGCCUUAUUUAAGGAUAUCAAAUUAGGGUGCUAUCUACUAAACACAUACACAUGUAUAUAUGCAUGCACACAUAACCACAGAUACACACACACACACAAUCACAGACCUAUGCACACAAUCACAAAUCUAUUCACACAUAAUACCUGACACACACAUACUAUCAAUCAUAAAUAUACACACACACACACACAAUCACAGACCUAUACACAUAAUCAGAGAUAUAAAUACACAAUCACAGACCUACACACAUAAUCACAAACUUACACACAUACAGACAUAUCCACAGAUCCCUCCUCCAUACACAGCCACUCACUCACAAAACAUACACAAAAAUCACAUGCACACACAUUUAAUACUAAAGAGGUCCACCCAGCCUCCCUACCUUGCUCUGGGAGGGUGGAGUGGAUCCUCUUCCUGGUGGCCAGUGGUUGCUGCUGGGCUGGAGCCUGGGACCUCUGUGCUCCUCAUGCACAGAUCCCUCGUGCGCACAGUAGUGAUGCCAAAAAACCCUGCCCUGUCCCCCCUCUACAAAAACCCCUGCCCAGUUCCCCGUCUACAAAAACCCUUGCCCAGCCCCCCUCUACAAAAACUUUUGCCCAGUCCCCCUUCUUCAAAACUUCCCUUUCUACAAAAUCUCUGCCCAGUCCACCCCUACAAAAACCCGUCCCCUGAUUUACAAAAAAAACCUGCCCCCCCUCUACAAGACCCCUUCCCACCCCCUCUACAAAAACCCCUACUUACCCCCUCUAAAAAAAAAAACUACCCACCACCUCUACAAAAAUCCCUGCCCACCACCUCUACAAAAAUCCCUGCUCAUCCCUUCUACAAAAAUCCCUGCCCACGCCCUAAAAACACCCAUUCACAAAAAAACCUGCCCCCUCUCAAGACCCUAGCACAAAAAAAAAAAACCAAUGUGAAACAAACAAAAAAACAAACAACAAUAUUAGCAAGCACUCACCCUGCUCUUUCGCCUGCUUGCUGCUCCCUGCUGAUCCGGGCAUCAGACUCUCACUUCUGCGCUGAGGGCGGAGCAUGUGGACAGCGUGUCAUUGCAUGCCUCCGUGCACCACCACAUUCCUCCUCCUGCUGCCAGGCCGCAGCUCUAAGAGGGUGGACCGCCCCCUAUUAGUACACCACUGAAUGGGCUCCCUACCUCCCUCUCGGCCUGGCAGCACGGACGGCAACCAGGGCGCACUGCUAGCAGCCUCCGGGCCACAGGUUGGACACCCAUGGUUUAGAACAAAGGCAACAUUGAAGUGUAGUUCACAUAAAUAUAAGGGAUAACCUGCCUCUAAAUUCUAGAGCUAGAUACUAUACUAUAAUAAUAAUAUAUUAACCCUCUACUGCUUCGUGGCAGUCCCCAGUAUGACUAACAAGCCCUUUUCUGCUAGCAGUGAGGAAGCUGACCUAACGGAGAUACUCAAUCAGAGUAUGGUGGCUCCAUAAAAGGGCCCAAAUCCCUCUUUUCUCUGAGCUCCAUGUUGUUAGUGUGUCUGAGUGUGUAACAGAGCUCCACGGCAAUUAUACUCACCGUACGAUGUCUUAAAAUUACACUAGUUGUGUUUCGAAGUCAAUCUGUAUUAAUAAGCUGCUUUGUUCUUUAAUCGUCCUACUUCCUCCAGUCAUGCACAGAUUGUACUCCAUGUGUGGUGAUACAGGGCCACUAUAGUACAUGUGUGCAUUGUAUAACUGCUUUGGGUUUUGCAUCCAUAUCUUUGCUCUUUCUUUGGUGGCCUACAUCUUCAAUGCUGCAUCCUUUGAUCCAUCCAGCCUUGUAUCAACAGCUCCGAUUUAUCACAUAAUGGUGCGGGGAUAUUGUUUGGUACAUAUUCGCAAAUAGAGCAUCAUUUAAAUGUCAGAGCCUAACGAGUAUUGCUGCUGAUCACACAAAUCACUUUAUUAGCUCAAUCUACCCAUCUUGUGAUGGCUACUUUCAGCAGAAUAACACGCCAUGUCACAAUACAUAUUUUAUCUCAAGCUGGUUCUACGGAUGCAUUCAGCGUAUGAAAAUGACCUUCAUAGUCAACAGAUCUAGAUUCAAGAUGAAUGUAUGAACGAUGGGACUUUAAAACAGGUUGUUUGCUUCAUUUUACAUAGUGACAACAAGUAGUAGAAUAAAAAGAUGGGAAUUAUAAAGCAUCAGCAUUAAAGCAGCGUGACAACACCCUUGAUUGAUUGUGGUGCUUAGAGUGCGACUUCAAGGCUCAGUUUUGUUUUCUAAAACUAAACUCUUCUGUAUCCCAAGUUUUAAAAGUAUAAGAGCAGGACAGAGGUGGAACAGUGCACCAGAGACACAUUGAGCACCAUGUUUGAUGAUGUGCCCAUGCUGCACUUUAUGGGGAUAGCAGAACAAACACCAAACAGCAGGACAGUACUGAAUCUCCAUGCAUACCUUAGAGCUCGUUAAGCAAGAAAUAUGAAAUGAACUAUGCAAUUCAUAUGAAUAUAUUUUAUUUUUUAUUUUUUUAUCAAGGCAAACCUUUAUCAUUUCUGAAGAAAAGAGCUCAAUUUUUAUUACAAAUUGUAUUUGUACUAUAGAUUUCUAUUAUAUUCAUUUCACAGUAUCAAGAUAGAAAGUUGUGGCCACUAGUUGGAGUUGGGAAGAGGUUUGCAGCAAUGGACUAACAAGCCUACCUGGCAAAGACUGUAAGAACCAGCAACCUCUGGUCGCUCACAUACAAAUGACGAGGAAAGCAAAAGGAGACCACCGAAAAUGAUACACCGUAUGUUGCAGUGUAUAGCACAAAGACAAGAAUCCCAACUCUCAUUCGCAAUCUGACAGUACACAUGCAACGGAAUAGGGAGGUGGGCAUUGCAUACAGAUAAGACCGAGCUGCAGCGGGUAAAGAUCUGCCAUGAAUUUACUAUUAUUCUUCUA